UCCGGUUUGUCACCGGCAGUCUCCGUAGAGUUCCCAGCCGAACUGAAGAGCUCCAUCUCUGGUGCUCGCGACCGGGAUGUCAAAGGCUGGUAAGGUUCUGCGCGUUGCUUCGAAUUGAACCACAUGCUCCACCGCUUGUGCGGGCCCCCGUCAAUUCCUUUGAGUUUUAGCCUUGCGGCCGUACUCCCCAGGCGGGGCACUUAGUGCGUUAGCGACGGCACGGGAGGAGUCGACACCUCCCACACCUAGUGCCCAUCGUUUACGGCGUGGACUAC
rnacentral:misc_RNA from 1 species